UCCGCUAACGAGUUGCCAUCAGUUUAUUCUCAGCAUGAAGAGUUUAUUGAUGUUUUGUGUCGCUGCUCUCUGUGGCUUUUCAACCAAGGAAUCGAGCGUGUCGGCCAAACCUUGUUUUUUCGGUUGUCGGGAAACUUUAAACAGUUUUAUGGACACCGUAGAUUCAGUUCCAGGGUUCGAAAAUAAUGGAAAAGAGGCCCGGGGUAAUAUGGUUGUGACUCUAAACGGCAACACAGAUAAAGAUGUUUACAAUUACGUAUGGACCGAUGAAGAUGGUACAACUACUAUAGAUACACAUACACAUAAGCGUAAUAGUAAACAUCGCCAUCAUCAUGGAUAAGGACCCGCGAGCAUGUAAAUCAAAUAUCAUCCGCUGCCUAAUGCCUAUACAAAACAGACGGUGGAACACAAAGAUUUUCUUCAAAAUAUAACUGUUGUUGAAACGUUUCUUAUUUUACUUUGUGAAAAGAGCCUAGCUCAGGUGUUAGAUGCGGUAAUUCAUUGGUGAAUAUCCAGAAACCUACCUCAAAUCCCAGUUCAGUGUCACUAUAGACUGAGUCGAUUUUGGGUCCUUUUUGAAUUUCUCAAACCCUGGGGUUUAAAAAGCUUCGUUUUGAUUUGAAACCAAUCCAUGAUUUUUGCAGAAUUUUCAAGUAACGUUUACAUGAGUAAAUUUGAACUUUUAGGUUUGU